rnacentral:rRNA from 1 species
CGUGUAGGCGGGAAAGCAAGUCAGAUGUGAAAUACCGAGGCUUAACUUCGGAGCUGCAUCUGAAACUGCGUUUCUUGAGUGUCGGAGAGGAAAGUGGAAUUCCCAGUGUAGCGGUGAAAUGCGUAGAUAUUGGGAGGAACACCAGUGGCGAAGGCGACUUUCUGGACGAUAACUGACGCUGAGGCGCGAAAGCGUGGGGAGCAAACAGGAUUAGAUACCCUGGUAGUCCACGCCGUAAACGAUGGAUACUAGGUGUGGGAGGUAUCGACCCCUUCCGUGCCGCAGUUAACACAAUAAGUAUCCCACCUGGGGAGUACGGCCGCAAGGUUGAA